rnacentral:rRNA from 1 species
UACGUGGGGUGCAAGCGUUGUCCGGAAUUAUUGGGCGUAAAGAGCUCGUAGGCGGUCUGUCGCGUCUGCUGUGAAAACUCAGGGCUUAACCCUGAGCUUGCAGUGGGUACGGGCAGACUAGAGUGCGGUAGGGGAGACUGGAAUUCCUGGUGUAGCGGUGAAAUGCGCAGAUAUCAGGAGGAACACCGGUGGCGAAGGCGGGUCUCUGGGCCGUAACUGACGCUGAGGAGCGAAAGCAUGGGGAGCGAACAGG